AUAUCUCUCCGUACGGGAAGGAUGAGAAGCUUCGACUAAGGUUCGAUUCGAGCGCAGCGAGAAAGCGUUGCCGCAGGCAACGACCCGAAGGGCGAAGCGCGCAGCGCUGAGUAAUCCUUCCCCCACCACCA
rnacentral:sRNA from 141 species